GAUGAAGAACGCAGCGAAAUGCGAUACGUAAUGUGAAUUGCAGAAUUCAGUGAAUCAUCGAGUCUUUGAACGCACAUUGCGCCCCCUGGUAUUCCGGGGGGCAUGCCUGUCCGAGCGUCAUUGCUGCCCUCAAGCACGGCUUGUGUGUUGGGCCUCCGCCCCCCGGCUCCCGGGGGGCGGGCCCGAAAGGCAGCGGCGGCACCGCGUCCGGUCCUCGAGCGUAUGGGGCUUCGUCACCCGCUCUUGUAGGCCCGGCCGGCGCUUGCCGACACAUCAAUCUUUUUUCCAGGUUGACCUCGGAUCAGGUAGGGAUACCCGCUGAACUUAAGCAUAUCAAUAAGCGGAGGA
rnacentral:misc_RNA from 1 species